GAGCUGCACACCUAAUGUGUGUUUGGAAUUUAAACAGCUCAUAUCCAGGACAACUUUUGUGUAAAGUCUUGUCCUGUCUGAUUCUGUUCACUGUCCAUGGUUUUUUGGGAGUUGGUGUUUUUGUGAACAGGGAUGUGACGUCACGUGAGAUGAGUCAGCAUGCACUGUGCUGCACAUCUGCCUCUGUGCUGGUAAAGUUGUGGGUCUGCAGGAUGAGCGUGAGGAAGAUGUGUGUGGAGGAGGUCAGCGGUGCUCUGUCUUUCAGGAGGUACCAGCAGACCACCACUACUGUUAACAGGCAAGUCAUUCACAGAGAUGUAACAGCCAUCGUCUGAGCCAGCCCAGCAGGCCCUGUAGAUGGACGAUGGAGUAGACAGUGAGAGGAAGCGCCCCAAAGCUCUCUCUGCAGACCGUCCUGUAUGAUGUUCCUCUGGCCAGAAACGACCAGCCACGGGUCUGCUCUAGCCCUCCAUCCACGUCUGGAUCCUCCUGUAGCAGAUCCAGCUGCAUUGUUAAAGACUUCCUGCUCACUCAGUUUAAAUAAAUGAUCCAGGAAGAGUCACUCAGGUUAAUCCUGCUUUAACCGUACAUAACUGGUCCAUACUGGUUUUGAUCUGUAAAUAAGUGUAACGUAUUAUAAAUAAUCUUGUCUCCUUACCAUCUUUUCAUUUUCUGUUCAUGUAACAUGUUCAAAAACAUCUGUAAUAAUAAAACUGGUGGUAAAAUCAA